GAGUGGUUUUGGACCCGUGUCUGCCGGUAGAUCCCCCGUCUUUGUGCGGCCGACUACUGGCGCCGUGUCCCGUCGGUUCUGUGGCUUAUGUUACUGUUGCCUUUCAAGCGCUUGCGUGUUGGUACCCGAACUCCGGGUAGUGGUGCUUUGUAUUCGGUUGCCUCGCGGUGGCCGCCUUCGGGUGUGCUGCUGCGGCCAAAUGGCGCUUGCGGCGUUUCCUCGUUGUGCCGGCAUGUUUACUCUGCCGGUGCAAUCAAGGCAACCUCGCUCCCGCUGUUGGUCUCGGAUGUUGCCUACGUUCAAGUCUCUUGGCCCAUUUUAAGUUGCCUUGACCCGACCCUAAGAAGCUCUCCGAAUUGAGAACAACCGGAACAGGUGUUGCCUCUACCUCUCCACAGUUAGUGGUAGGAUUACGCAACAUUCUGCGCCGAUCCUCAAACAAGUAGGAACGAGCUUGGCCCGCUCAAUUACGACAACCGGCCCGGCCGUUGGCUCUGCCUUGACACGCAAGUGGAUGGGUGGACAACUUCCGACGCUGGACGUCAAAGAGGACGUGCUACCUGGUUGAUCCUGCCA
rnacentral:misc_RNA from 1 species